CAAGAAGUUACAAAGAAAAGGAGUUUAUGCACUUCCUGAACAAAAGAUUGCAGCCUCAGACACGUGGCAAAUAGAACCAAGUAAGUAUCUCCUGUAUUAAUCCUCUUGUAUUUCAAUAAGAACCAGACUUAUUUCCUGCAAGGAAAACUUACCACUUGUGAAUGACUGAGUUACGACAAAUACACAGCUAAAACCUUAACUCUGACAGCAAUCCUGUGAAGAGCAACCUUACAAAGCAGAAGAGAGCUCAAUUUCCGACUUUCCAUAUGGAAGAGUGUCUGCUGAUCCACACCAGACCCUGCUCUGGUGAGAAGUAAAUGCUCCCGAGCUUCAUUUCCAUGACAACACUGAACUAAUACUGCUGCCAAGCCGAGGCCAUCCUAAUAGACAACCAGUGGAACACGAAGCUAGACCCACGCGAGGACAUGGAGUAUUCGAGAGCUUCAACAGGCAGGGCAGAGGUUUCCAUUUUAUUCCGGAGCAAAUGAGAAAACAGAAUAUUUGGCUUGGGACAUUACCAGAACUGAUUGAUUUCAUUUUAGGUUUAGCUCCUGAGAUUCUGUUUUUAAGAUGUAUCUAUUGGGGAGGCAGAAUCUCACACACACACACACACACACACACACACACAGAGAGAGAGAGAGAGAGAGAGGGAGGGAGAGAGGGAGGGAGGGAGGGAGAGAGAUC